CUAGGAGCCACCAUCUUUCCAGUGGGGAUUUACCAAGGAGUGCCUCAACUCGUCUUCGUGUGUGUGUCUUUAACAGCCGCGUUCGCUAUGGCGGGAUGAUCGACAGUAAACACACACACUUAAAAUGGAACCCUUGAGGAAAGACUCAUUAAAAGCAAUACUAAGAUUUCAGCUGACAUCUCAACAGAAAAGACAGAAGCCAGAGAUAACGUCAAAACACCCUUCAGGAAUAAGGUGAAAUAAAGACAUUCUCAGAUGAUGGAAAAUUAAGAGGACUCAUCACAGCAGAACUGCCCUAAAAGAAAUGAUAAAGUCUGAAAGGAAAUGAUACCAGAGAGGAACCUGGAACUUCAGGACUUAAUGAAGAGCAAAACUAAUAGCAAAUAUGUAGUCACACGAGUGGCUAGCAUUCCACUUCUGCGGGACAGCGUCGGCCGGCAGAAUGACCUUCACGUGGACGCCCUCAUUUCCUGUACAAAACCAAGACCAGUUUCGACAGGAAGUCCCUUGCAUCUGUGCCAUUUCCUCAAAGCCCAUUUUGAAAGGAAUUACAAAUGGAGGUUUGUUCCCAUCUACGAGGGAGAAACGCUCACAAGAAGAAAAGAGCCUCCAACCAAAGCUGGAAGAACAGCCCUCAGUCUGGCCUCCAAGAACUUCUGACACUCGCUGAAGUGACAGCAGGAAGAUGCCUGCUGCACAGCACCCUCUGGGUGUCGCCCAAUCACAACUGAGUUCAUGCGUCCCGAGUACAGAUUCAAAUCAUCCUGUCUUAUCACUAACUGCUCUG